rnacentral:misc_RNA from 1 species
GGAAGGAUCAUUACCGAGUUAGGGUCUAAUAUGGCCCAACCUCCAAACCUUUGAGUACCUAACAAAGCAUUGAUUUUUCCUUGUUGCUUCGGUGGGUUGAAAAUACCCACCGAAGCACAGGAGCAACAAACUCUUUUUGAAAGGUGCAGUCUGAAGUUUAGAUGCUGAAUAAAUUAAAACUUUCAACAACGGAUCUCUUGGUUCCCGCAUCGAUGAAGAACGCAGCGAAAUGCGAUAAGUAAUGUGAAUUGCAGAAUUCAGUGAAUCAUCGAAUCUUUGAACGCAUAUUGCGCCCCUUGGUAUUCCAAAGGGCAUGCCUGUUCGAGCGUCAUUAUAAAAUCUCAAGCCGCUAGGCUUGGUUUUGGGCUGUCAUGACUGCCUAGUCUAGGCUAGUUAUGUGCCUGAAAAUCAGUGGCAGUGCCUAAAUGACCUCAAGCAUAGUGGACACCUCUUGUGCUUUAGAGGCUUCAUUUGUUAGGAUUGCUUGCCCCCUCCUGCUUUAAUUAAAGCUACUUUAACAGUGUUUGACCUCGGAUCAGGUAGGGAUACCCGCUGAACUUAAGCAUAUCAAUAAGCGGAGGAAAAGAAACCAACAGGGAUUGCCUCAGUAACGGCGAGUGAAGCGGCAACAGCUCAAAUUUGAAAUCUGGUUUCCUUCUAGGGACCCGAGUUGUAAUUUGUAGAGGAAGCUUCUGAGCAGCUCCUAGCCUAAGUUCCUUGGAACAGGACGUCAUAGAGGGUGAGAAUCCCGUAUGUGGCUUGGAAGUUUGUUCAAUGUGAAGCCCCUUCGACGAGUCGAGUUGUUUGGGAAUGCAGCUCAAAAUGGGUGGUAAGUUUCAUCUAAAGCUAAAUAUUGGCGGGAGACCGAUAGCGCACAAGUAGAGUGAUCGAAAGAUGAAAAGCACUUUGGAAAGAGAGUUAAAAAGUACGUGAAAUUGUUGAAAGGGAAGCGCUUGCAACCAGACUUGCCCUCAGUUGAUCAACCUUCAUCGGUGUACUCUGCUGGGGUCAGGCCAGCAUCAGUUUGGGUGGUUGGAGAAAGGCCAUGGGAAUGUGGCUCUCUUCGGGGAGUGUUAUAGCCCACGGUGUCAUGCAACCAGCCUGGACUGAGGACCGCGCCUUGUGCUAGGAUGCUGGCAUAAUGGUUGUAAGCGACCCGUCUUGAAACACGGACCAAGGAGUCUAACAUCUAUGCAAGUGUUUGGGUGUUAAACCCAUGCGCGUAAUGAAAGUGAACGGAGGUGGGAACCCCUGAGGGUGCACCAUCGACCGAUCCUGAUGUCUUCGGAUGGAUUUGAGUAAGAGCAUAGCUGUUGGGACCCGAAAGAUGGUGAACUAUGCCUGAAUAGGGUGAAGCCAGAGGAAACUCUGGUGGAGGCUCGCAGCGGUUCUGACGUGCAAAUCGAUCGUCAAAUUUGGGUAUAGGGGCGAAAGACUAAUCGAACCAUCUAGUAGCUGGUUCCUGC